UAAUACGGAAGGUGCGAGCGUUGCUCGGAAUCACUGGGCGUAAAGGGUGCGUAGGCGGCGGGGUCAGUCGGGUGUGAAAGCCCCGGGCUCAGCCCGGGAAGGGCACUCGAAACUGCCCUGCUAGAGUGCUGGAGGGGAGAGUGGAAUUCCUGGUGUAGCGGUGAAAUGCGUAGAGAUCAGGAGGAAUACCGGUGGCGAAAGCGACUCUCUGGACGGCAACUGACGCUGAGGCACGAAAGCGUGGGGAGCAAACAGGAUUAGAUACCCUGGUAGUCCACGCCGUAAACGAUGGGCACUAGGUGUCGGGGGUAUCCACUCCCUCGGUGCCGCCGCUAACGCAUUAAGUGUCCCGCCUGGGAAGUACGGUCGCAAGAUUAAAACUCAAAGGAAUUGACGG
rnacentral:rRNA from 1 species